GAGCUCGGAAGAACCAAGAAAGAAAAAGAGAUUUCAUGCGUGCCUCCCCACGGGUUGAAUUAACUUGGUUUCGCGGCGCCCUGGGUCACAGGAGGACCAGCUGCGGCUGUUUAGCAGAAGAUGAUGAACUGAGCAGGAGGUUAAGAGGGAGGUCAAAUGAAUCUAUUCCAGAUGGUUAUGUUGCUUCACUUUAGAAGUCAGAGUCUUUAGUUUUGCAGAGCUGAAAGUUGCAACAAGAAGCUUCAGAUCUCAUACAAUUCUCGGCAAUGGUGAUAUUGGUAGUCUUGAAAGGCUGCCUUGAUGAGAAUGGGUCUUCCCAGAGCAAAAGAAUGACUCCAUUGCCCAAUAUAUAUAUUGAACCUUGAGAGCGUGCAAGGAUUCAAAGAGUGGAAGGUAAUCUUAGUUCCUCUCAGGAAAGCUCAGGUGGCAUGUGCUUUGCAGUAUUUAAUGUUAAUCUCUGUUGCAUUUUUAGCAAGAAAUUCUAUUAUGAUCCUAGGAGGAGAAUCGUGUCCAGAUAAAUAGUUUGUUGUAGAAAAAUGAGAAUGAGAUGAUAGAUGUUAGUGGCCUUUUCUGUCACUAGGUUGUUCUAGUUUGGUGUGGCUAACUGUUGUUACUGAUCAAAACAGUAAACUAGAAACAGAAAAACCAGAAGCUAUAGUUUUUGAAUGAGGAAAAGAAGCACAGAGAAAACAGAGCAUAAACUUACGUA